rnacentral:rRNA from 1 species
CCCUUAGACGUUCUGGGCCGCACGCGCGCUACACUGAUCAGUGCAACAAGCAUCCGUCCUUGGCCGACAGGCUCGGGCAAUCUUUGAACGCUGGUCGUGAUGGGGAUAGACUUUUGCAAUUUUUGGUCUUCAACGAGGAAUUCCUAGUAAACGCAAGUCAUCAACUUGCAUUGAUUACGUCCCUGCCCUUUGUACACACCGCCCGUCGCACCUACCGAUUGAAUGGUCCGGUGAAGCCUCCGGAUUGGCGCGCACCUCGGUGCCGCCGAGAAGUUGGCUAAACCUUACCAUUUAGAGGAAGGUGAAGUCGUAACA